rnacentral:rRNA from 1 species
CUACGUGCCAGCAGCCGCGGUAAUACGUAGGUCCCGAGCGUUGUCCGGAUUUAUUGGGCGUAAAGAGAGCGCAGGCGGUUUGAUAAGUCUGAAGUUAGAGGCUGUGGCUCAACCAUAGUUCGCUUUGGAAACUGUCAAACUUGAGUGCAGAAGGGGAGAGUGGAAUUCCAUGUGUAGCGGUGAAAUGCGUAGGUAUAUGGAGGAACACCGGUGGCGAAAGCGGCUCUCUGGUCUGUAACUGACGCUGAGGCUCGAAAGCGUGGGGAGCGAACAGGAUUAGAUACCCUGGUAGUCCACGCCGUAAACGAUGAGUGCUAGGUGUUGGAUCCUUUCCGGGAUUCAGUGCCGCAGCUAACGCAUUAAGCACUCCGCCUGGGGAGUACGACCGCAAGGUUGAAACUCAAAGGAAUUGACGGGGGCCCGCACAAGCGGUGGAGCAUGUGGUUUAAUUCGAAGCAACGCGAAGAACCUUACCAGGUCUUGACAUCCCGAUGCUAUUUCUAGAGAUAGAAAGU